rnacentral:rRNA from 1 species
UAUCUUGGUUGAUCUGCAGUAGUCAUAUGCUUGUCUGCAAAGAUUAAUGCCAUGCAAUGUCGCUAAAGUACAAACCUUAAAUAACGUUUGUGAAACGCGAGCGAAUGGCUCAAUUAAUCAAGCUAUGGUUCCAUUAGAUCUGUCUCAUCGCUACUCGGAAAGCUGUGGAAAAUCUAAGAGCUAAUACGUGCUUACAAGCCUGACCUCACGGGAGGGGCGGCAUUUAUUAGAUCAAAACCAAUCGGGCUUGCCGGCCGUCUGCUUGGUGAACUCUGGGAUAACUUUUGUGGCUGAUCGCAUGGCGCCUCUGCGCUGGCGACGUAUCUUUCAAGUGUCUGCCCUAUCAACUUCAGCGAUGGUAGGUUGAAUAUGGACUACGCAUGGUUAUAACGGGUAACGGGAAAUCAGGGUUCGAUGCCGGAGAGGGAGCCAUGAGAAACGGCUACCACAUCUAAGAAGGGAGCAGGCCGCGCAAAUUACCACUCCGGCAGCGGGGAGGUAGAGGGGGGCUGACGAAAAAUAACGAUACGGGGACUCUUUUGAAGGCCCCGUAAUUGGAAUGAGUACACUUUAAAUCCGUUAACAAAGUAUCUAUUGGAAGGGCAAGUCUGGUGCCAGCAGCCGCGGUAAUUCCAGCUGCGCAGAUAGCGUAUAUUAAUGUUGCUGCAGUUAAAAAAGCUGCGUAGUUGAAUCUGAGGACUCGAAUUGGUGGUGCACGCAUAUCGGUGUUUACCUGCGAUUCGGCCCUACCUAGUCGGUGCUGCGCUCUUGGUGUUCCUUAAUUGAAUGCCUGAGUGCCCGGCAAGUUUUACUUAUGAAAAACUUAGAGUGCUCAAAGCAGCCAUUAGCCGGAAUACUUCAGCCAUGGAAUAAUGAAUAGGACUUCGGUUCUAUUUUGUUGGUUUCGGAACCGAGGUAAAUGAUUUAAGAGAGACAGACGGGGGCAUUCCGUACUGCGGUGUAGAGGUGGAAAUUCUUGGAUCGCCGCAAAGACGAACAACUGCGAAACCAUUUGCCAGAAUGUUUUCAUUAUCAAGAUACGAAAGUCAGAGGGUUGAAGACGAAUACAGUAUACGCGUCCUAGCUCUGACCAUGAAACGAUGCCAACUGGCGAUCCGAGAAUCGUUUGCUUAUUGACGCUGCUCGGGCAGCCUCGGAAACCAAAGUUUUUAGUUCCGGGGAGUAUGGUUGGCAUAGCUGAACUUAAAGAAUUGACGGAAGGGGCACCAACACAGGAAGUGGAAAGCCUGCGGCUUAAUGUUGACUAAACACGGGAAAACUGCACACCGGCCCCGGAACACUGUUAGGAUUGACAGAUUGAGAGCUCUUUCUUGAUUCGGUGGGUGUGGUGCAUGGCGUUCUUGGGAGGGAGGCGAUUUUGUUCUGGUUAAUUCCCGAUAACGAACGAGACCUAGCCCUGCUAAAUAGUACGACCGAUACGCUUUUUCGUCCGUGCUGACUUCUUAGAGGGACAAGCGUCUUGAAGACGGCACGAAAUUGAGCAAUAACAGGUCUGUGAUGGCCCUUAGAUGUUCGGGCCGCACGCGCCGCGCUACACUGUGAAGGGACAGCGAAGUUUUUCCGCUGUUCGAAAGAACCGGUAAUCCUGUUGAAUUCCCCUUCGUGACAGGGAUCGGGGCUUUGCCAAAUUAUUCCCCGUGAACGAGGAAUUCCCCAGUAAGCGCAAGUCAUCAGCUUGCGUUGUGAUUACGGUCCGCCUGCCCUUAGUACACGGGGGGGGCCUUUGUAACACACCGCCGUCGCUACUAACCGAUUGAAA